rnacentral:misc_RNA from 1 species
GGCAAGCCAGAAAUGAAGAAGUUUGUUCUUAAGCUGGACUUACAAGACAACAAAGGCAAGCAGAAGGCAUUGAAGACGGUUUCUACCCUUUCAGGGAUUGAUUCCAUUGUCAUGGACAUGAAGGAUAAGAAAUUAACGGUGAUUGGAACUGUUGAUCCUGUGGCUGUUGUUAGCAAAUUGAGAAAGCAUUGGCAAACUAAUAUAAUCUCAGUAGGGCCAGCCAAGGAGCCUGAGAAGAAAGAAGAGCCUAAGAAGGAGGA